rnacentral:snoRNA from 1 species
UUUCUCAUUCUAGGUGAAAAUGGGCACUGUUGUUCAUGUGCAGAAAUUGUUGAUGUGGCUACAGUGUGACACAGACUAUGCUUCUAUCACAGUAAGUUUAUUGCAGGGGUGGCCAGGCUCAAUGAGUGAAAAAUAGAUGUAAAAAUA